rnacentral:rRNA from 1 species
CAGUCGCCACGGUAAAACGAAGGGGGCUAGCGUUGUUCGGAUUUACCGGGCGUAAAGGGCGCGUAGGCGGACUGAUAAGUCAGGGGUGAAAUCCCAAGGCUCAACCUUGGAACUGCCUUUGAUACUGUUUGUCUUGAGUUCGAGAGAGGUAAGUGGAACUGCGAGUGUAGAGGUGAAAUUCGUAGAUAUUCGCAAGAACACCAGUGGCGAAGGCGGCUUACUGGCUCGAAACUGACGCUGAGGCGCGAAAGCGUGGGGAGCAAACAGGAUUAGAUACCCCGGUAGUCCCUGUCUCUUAUAC